UACGUAGGGGGCAAGCGUUGUCCGGAUUUAUUGGGCGUAAAGCGCGUGUAGGCGGCCAGGUAGGUCCGUUGUGAAAACUCGAGGCUCAACCUCGAGACGCCGAUGGAAACCCCCUGGCUAGAGUCCGGAAGAGGAGAGUGGAAUUCCUGGUGUAGCGGUGAAAUGCGCAGAUAUCAGGAAGAACACCCGUGGCUAAGGCGGCUCUCUAGUACGGUACUGACGCUGAGACGCGAAAGCGUGGGGAGCGAACAGG
rnacentral:rRNA from 1 species